AUUAUCUUGGCAGAUUAGUGCGUUAAAUUUAGAAUUUAAAUAAGAGAGUAGUUUGAAUUUCUCAGUUAAUA
rnacentral:tRNA from 1 species